rnacentral:lncRNA from 1 species
UCACACCACUGCACCCCAGACCGGGUGAUGGAAUAAAUAAAUAAAUAAAUAAAUAAAUAAAUAAAUAAAUAAAUAAAGGGGGGAAAGAUGACUAACAAGAUGGGCAAAAUGUUGAUAGUUUCUGAAGCUAUAUGACAGUUCCACCAGAGUUCAUUCUACUGCUAAAAAAAAAAAAAAAAAUUAGCUGGGCGUGGUGUCACGUGCCUCUGUAAUCCCAGCUACUCGGGAGGCUGAUGCAAGAGAAUUGCUUGAACCCAGGUGGUAGAAGUUGCAGUGAGCUGAGAUGGUGCCACUGCACUCCAGCCUGGGCGACAGAGACUCCUUCUCAAAAAAAAAAAAAUUUUUUUUUAAUUUUUUUAGUAAAAUAAAAUAAAUAAAUGUAGAUUCCUAGAGUCCACCCCAUGGGCCACCGAACUACCAACUCUAGGGGUAAGAUUCAAGAAUGUGCAUUUUAAUAAGAUAACAAGUGAUUUGUCUGAAAGCUCAAGUUUGAGAGCCACACUUCUAUUUUUCUUCUUUUUUUUUUUUUUUUUUUUUUUUGAGAGUGUCUUGCUCUGUCACCCAGGCUGGAAUGCAAUGGCACAAUCUCAACUUACUGCAGCCUUGACCUCCUGGGUUCAAGCAAUCCUCCCAUCUCAGCCUCCGGAGUGGGCUAAUUUUUGUUGUAAAGAUGGGGUUUCGCCAUUUGCUCAGGCUGGUCUCCAACUCCUGAGCUCAAGCGAUCCACCCACCUUGGCCUCCCAAAGUGCUGAGAUUACAGAUGUGAGCUACCAUGCUCAGAAAGGAUUUUUGUUUUUUGUUUUUUUUUUCAGUAAAGAGAGGCUUCAUUGUCUACCAAUGGGUCAGAAAAAAAAAGGGGUCAGGUGCAGUGGCUCACACCUGUAAUCCCAGCAC